AGAUUAAACUGAAGAGUUUGAUCCUGGCUCAGAUUGAACGCUAGCGGCAUGCCUUACACAUGCAAGUCGAACGGCAGCGCGGACUUCGGUCUGGCGGCGAGUGGCGAACGGGUGAGUAAUGCAUCGGAACGUGCCCAGUAGCGGGGGAUAACUACGCGAAAGCGUGGCUAAUACCGCAUACGCCCUACGGGGGAAAGGGGGGGAUCGCAAGACCUCUCACUAUUGGAGCGGCCGAUGUCGGAUUAGCUAGUUGGUGGGGUAAAGGCCUACCAAGGCGACGAUCCGUAGCUGGUUUGAGAGGACGACCAGCCACACUGGGACUGAGACACGGCCCAGACUCCUACGGGAGGCAGCAGUGGGGAAUU
rnacentral:rRNA from 1 species